GAGUGAGGUAGAGGCGCGAAAACCAUGAGUACCACCCUGAGAUCGGGAUCGUUGACGGGUAGCGGAAAGGGGGAUUCGCCGAAGUACGGAGGGAAGACCCGCUUCCUUGCGUGCUGGGCCUGUGUUGAACAAAUACAGGACUGUCAUCUGAGCAAUACCCCAUUGCCGGAUGGAGAGCUAUCUCACGA
rnacentral:ncRNA from 2 species